rnacentral:rRNA from 1 species
UACGAAGGGGGCUAGCGUUGCUCGGAAUCACUGGGCGUAAAGCGCACGUAGGCGGCUUUUUAAGUCAGGGGUGAAAUCCUGGAGCUCAACUCCAGAACUGCCUUUGAUACUGAGAAGCUUGAGUUCGGGAGAGGUGAGUGGAACUGCGAGUGUAGAGGUGAAAUUCGUAGAUAUUCGCAAGAACACCAGUGGCGAAGGCGGCUCACUGGCCCGAUACUGACGCUGAGGUGCGAAAAGCGUGGGGA